rnacentral:rRNA from 1 species
GGACCCGCACAAGCGGUGGAUUAUGUGGAUUAAUUCGAUGCAACGCGAAAAACCUUACCUACCCUUGACAUGUCCGAAAGCCUGGUGAGAGCCGGGUGUGCCCGAAAGGGAAUCGGAACACAGGUGCUGCAUGGCUGUCGUCAGCUCGUGUCGUGAGAUGUUGGGUUAAGUCCCGCAACGAGCGCAACCCUUGUCAUUAGUUGCUACAUUCAGUUGGGCACUCUAAUGAGACUGCCGGUGACAAACCGGAGGAAGGUGGGGAUGACGUCAAGUCCUCAUGGCCCUUAUGGGUAGGGCUUCACACGUAAUACAAUGGCGCGUACAGAGGGCUGCUAAGCCGCGAGGUAGAGCCAAUCCCUUAAAGCGCGUCGUAGUCCGGAUUGCAGUCUGCAACUCGACUGCAUGAAGUCGGAAUCGCUAGUAAUCGCGGAUCAGCAUGUCGCGGUGAAUACGUUCCCGGGUCUU